ensembl:snRNA U6 U6 spliceosomal RNA
GUGCUCACUUUGGCAGCACAUGUACUAAAAUUGGAAGGAUAUAGAGAAGAUUAGCAUGGCCCUUGUGCAAGGAUGAAACACAAAUUUAUGAAGUGUUACAUAUUUUU